rnacentral:rRNA from 2 species
GGACUACUGGGGUAUCUAAUCCCGUUCGCUCCCCACGCUUUCGUGCCUCAGUGUCAGAACCUGCCCAGUCACCCGUCUUCACCACAGGCGUUCCAGACGAUAUCUACGCAUUUCACCGCUCCACCGUCUGUUCCAGUGACCCCUACAGGCCUCAAGUCCGCCAGUAUUCGAAGCAAUUCCCGGGUUGAGCCCGGGGAUUUCACAACGAACUUAACGGACCACCUACGCACCCUUUAAACCCAGUGAUUCUCAGUAACGCUUGGGACCUCUGUAUUACCGCGGCUGCUGGCAC